AUUCAGUUAUUUUAUUAAAAUUUAAGUUUGUGGUACUUAAGAUGCCUAUAUUAUUAUGGCACUGGAUA
rnacentral:tRNA from 1 species